UAGUCCACGCCGUAAACGAUGGAUGCUAGCUGUUGGACGUAUCGACCCGUUCAGUAGCGAAGCUAACGCGUUAAGCAUCCCGCCUGGGGAGUACGGUCGCAAGAUUAAAACUCAAAGGAAUUGACGGGGACCCGCACAAGCGGUGGAGCGUGUUGUUUAAUUGGAUGCUAAGCCAAGAACCUUACCCAGACUUGACAUCCUUGGAAUUUUGACGAAAGUCGAGAGUGCCUUCGGGAGCCAAGUGACAGGUGUUGCAUGGCCGUCGUCAGCUCGUGUCGUGAGAUGUUAGGUUAAGUCCUUCAACGAGCGCAACCCUUAUGAUUAGUUGUAUUUUUCUAAUCAGACUGCCCCGGUAACGGGGAGGAAGGGGGGGAUGAUGUCAGGUCAUUAUUACCCUUACGUCUGGGGCUACAAACGCGCUACAAUGGCCGGUACAAAGGGCAGCCAAGUCGUGAGACGGAGCAAAUCCCAUCAAAGCCGGUCCCAGUUCGGAUUGCAGGCUGAAACUCGCCUGCAUGAAGUCGGAAUCGCUAGUAAUCGCAGGUCAGCACACUGCGGUGAAUACGUUCCCGGGUCUUGUACACACCGCCCGUCAAACCAUGAAAGUCACCAACACCCGAAGUCCGAGUUUUAUCUCGGCCUAAGGUGGGGGGGAUGAUUGGGGUU
rnacentral:rRNA from 1 species